rnacentral:rRNA from 1 species
AAACCAACAGGGAUUGCCCUAGUAACGGCGAGUGAAGCGGCAACAGCUCAAAUUUGAAAUCUGGCCCUCGGGUCCGAGUUGUAAUUUGUAGAGGAUGCUUUUGGCGCGGUGCCUUCCGAGUUCCCUGGAACGGGACGCCUUAGAGGGUGAGAGCCCCGUACGGUUGGACACCAAGCCUCUGUAAAGCUCCUUCGACGAGUCGAGUAGUUUGGGAAUGCUGCUCUAAAUGGGAGGUAAAUUUCUUCUAAAGCUAAAUAUUGGCCAGAGACCGAUAGCGCACAAGUAGAGUGAUCGAAAGAUGAAAAGCACUUUGAAAAGAGGGUUAAAUAGCACGUGAAAUUGUUGAAAGGGAAGCGUUUGCGACCAGACCUUUUCCUAGCGGAUCAUCCGGUGUUCUCACCGGUGCACUUCGCUAGGUUUAGGCCAGCAUCGGUUUCUGUAGGGGGAUAAAAGCUCUGGGAACGUAGCUCCUCCGGGAGUGUUAUAGCCCUCUGCAUAAUACCCUUACGGGGACCGAGGACCGCGCUUCGGCAAGGAUGCUGGCGUAAUGGUCGUCAACGAC